ACUCCUACGGGAGGCAGCAGUGGGGAAUAUUGCACAAUGGGCGCAAGCCUGAUGCAGCCAUGCCGCGUGUAUGAAGAAGGCCUUCGGGUUGUAAGUAGUUACUUCAGCAGUGAGGAGUGGAUAUGUUAAUAGCAUAUUCAUUUGACGUUAGCUGCAGAAGAAGCACCGGCUAACUCCGUGCCAGCAGCCGCGGUAAUACGGAGGGUGCGAGCGUUAAUCGGAAUUACUGGGCGUAAAGCGCAUGCAGGUGGUUUGUUAAGUCAGAUGUGAAAGCCCGGGGCUCAACCUCGGAAUUGCAUUUGAAAACUGGCAAAACUAGAGUACUGUAGAGGGGGGUAGAAUUUCAGGUGUAGCGGUGAAAAUGCGUAGAGAUCUGAAGGAAUACCGGUGGCGAAGGCGGCCCCCUGGACAGAUACUGACACUCAGAUGCGAAAGCGUGGGGAGCAAAACAGGAUUAGAUACCCUGGUAGCUACGAGU
rnacentral:rRNA from 1 species